rnacentral:rRNA from 1 species
UACGGAGGGUGCAAGCGUUAUCCGGAUUCACUGGGUUUAAAGGGUGCGUAGGAGGGCAGGUAAGUCAGUGGUGAAAUCCCCGAGCUUAACUUGGGAACUGCCGUUGAUACUAUCUGUCUUGAAUAUUGUGGAGGUGAGCGGAAUAUGUCAUGUAGCGGUGAAAUGCUUAGAUAUGACAUAGAACACCAAUUGCGAAGGCAGCUUGCUACACAACUAUUGACUCUGAUGCACGAAAGCGUGGGGAUCAAACAGG